rnacentral:lncRNA from 1 species
CAUUAGUUAGCUGAAAAAUUAGUUUAGUUACGUUGUGAGGAAUGCUUGUUAGUGGUUCAUUAUCUCUCUAAUAAGCUCUCUAAGUAGAGCUCAAACUCCCCCUCAUUUGUAUCUUAUAUCAUUUUCAAUCAAUCCCACAGUUACCUUUAUAGAACUCCUCUUCUAUUCUAUGAGCUCUACGAUGUAUGGCCACGUCAACUUGGUAUAAUAUGC